rnacentral:rRNA from 1 species
UACGGAGGGUGCAAGCGUUAUCCGGAUUUACUGGGUUUAAAGGGUGUGUAGGCGGAUUAUUAAGUCAGCGGUGCAAUCUCCGAGCUCAACUCGGAAACUGCCAUUGAUACUAUUAGUCUUGAAUAUUGUUGAGGUGGGCGGAACGGGUCAUGUAUCGGUGAAAUGCAGAGAUAUGACCCGGAACACCGAUUGCGAAGGCAGCCCACUAAGCAAGGAUUGACGCUGAGGCACGAAAGCGUGGGGAUCAAACAGG